GACUUGGAUCUUUUGAGUAAUGGUGAAGACUUGUUGACUCAUUUCCAAGACUACUUUCCCUGUAGGUUAUUAAGCCACUUAAAAGAGAGAUUUUGUUCCUGGAUUCCCAAUAUUCAGAGAGAGGACAAGGCUUUACUCACGGACCUUCCCGAAGCAUCAUAAGGUUUCUAAAGAAAGAUGUUUACUGGGAGGCGUGUUCCCCAGCCUUGUUCAGACUGUUUGAUCUACUGUUAGUCGUGUUCCCAAGACUUGCUCUGAUCGUUUGAACUAUAGCUGUUUGUCAGUCGUGUUCCUAAGACUGAAAUGUUCUGCAGUUCCUCAACAGAACUUUUUGUGUCUGUUCCAGUAGUUGUUAGUUACUGAUGCUUUGUUUUUGUUUUUAUCAGGUCUGUUGCACAGCACAUUGUCUCGGGACCAUUGACCGAAUUAACUGGCCUGGAUGUUAAGGGGCUCCCUCGACAACAUUAUGGCAUUGACUGUGGAAUCUUCAUGAUAAUGUACUCCUGGUAUGUUGUCAUGGAA